AUGUUAAAUACAUAUUUUAUACAUAUUUUCAGUUUUUGUUGUCAAAGAUUGAUGGAAGAGAACAAUCCAAUCUUCACACACAGGUGUAAUCUGAGAACCUGGUCCCUCCUAUUUAUAGAAAAAAAUCGACCUGUAAAGGAAAAAUCGACCUAUAAGGUAAACACUUUCAUUUAUGGAAUUGCAAAACGACUGUUCACAAUGAGAAUCCUGUGUCUUCUGGCCUUUCUAUGCCUACCAUCAUUUAUUCUUUGUGGUUUUAGGAAUAUGACCAUCUACUGUCCUCUGGAUGAAACUGAAAAUGGAAAUCAACCUAGUAAAUGGAAUAUCAGCCUGGCAAAAUGUGAUACUUUACAAAUAACGUGCACGGAUCGAAAUAAUCAAAAAAUCUGCAAAUCACUGGAGGAAUGUGGUCGUAAUCAGCUGAUAGAGGGUUUUAUAGACAAACUGCUUGGUUAUAUCAACUGUGAGAGAAAAGAAAAAGGAAUAAAAUGUGAUCUUCAUAUAGCUUGUAAUCAUACAAUAUACCUUGAACUUGAUCAUCUUCUGACUGACGAUAAGAAAACAGGAAAUUGCAAAUUCCGCCAUAAUGUUUUGCAAUGUAUACAAUAUAAGGAAAAUCUUCAAAAUCUUACAGACUGCAAUAUGACUGUUGCUUCCAAUACAGCUGAAAAAAGAAGUCAGGAGGGCAAAAACAACUCUACAGAAGAUACAGCAGACUGCAAACUUGAAACUUAUAUUCUAGGAGGAGUAAUUUUAUGUUUAAUUGGAGUGGUAUUUUUAAUUGCCCUAGUGAUUCGGAUUAUCAUGAAGAUGAGAACAGCUUCAGGCUCUGCAAACUUCACACAUUCAGGUCCUGCAGCCCCUCUACAGGCAGAGAAUACACCAUUCCUCCGCACUGCUUGAUGUAACCCAGUUCAAAAGGAGCACCGGAUUCAUCACCAAACUCUUCACUCAAGUUAAUUGUGCCAACCAGCCUAUUUUUAUUAUUCUUUGUGGUUUAGUUUUUGUUUGGCACUUGUUAAGAUACUGUGUUGUAAUCUAAGCUUGUUGUGUAGCCUACUUUUACUGAUUGUUAGGAAUCGAAUAACUUCUAUGAGAAUUAGCUUAUCAGAUAACAGUCCUUGUUUUGCUAAUUGCUAAUGUUGAGAACUUUACGUAAACUCUGUUAGAAUAGUGUUUCUUAUUUUUUUUUGGAUAGUUUGUGUAGUAGCACCAUGUAUGUGAAGGUUACGGUUUUAAUUUCUAAUGUACCAUUUUCCUUUGGUUAAUACGUUUAGUGGGUUGGGAUUUGGUUAAAUUGUUUUGUUUUAUUUCUUUGUUUUGGCAACACUCCUGUUUUUAGUUUGAUUCAGUUUAUUAAUUAAUUCACAUUAUGAAUCCCUAUAUUCAUUGUUACUUAUGAAUGUUUAAUAAAUUACAGUUUUCGUUUCACAUAUCCGUUGUUGUGUCUCUUAUUUUAAUAAGCACCAGAAAAUCUUACUUAAUAUUAUGUCUUAUGCCUGUAAUAACUAAACACAUAGGAACACGGUACAAUUUUACUUAAUUUAUUAAUUCAUUUGUAUAUUUAAAUACAUCUGUAUAUUUAUAACAAAUAUGUACAUACAAUUCAACAUCCAGAUCUUUUUGACUAACUGCAUCUCUGUUAAACACACACAUACACACACACACUAUGGGCAAUUUAGUUCAUCCAAUUCCCUUUUACUGUAUUUUCUGGAAAACAUGCAAACUCCACACAGAAAUGUUACCUGGACCAGCCAGGAUUUGAACCAGCGACCUUCUUGCUGUGAGGUGACAGUGCUACCUAUUGAUUUACUAAUUAAAUUACUGAUUCACUAAGCAUGUAAUUUUAAUAUUAUAAUAUUUACUUUCGUCUGGUUGUUUCAAGUACUUUUUUGGCUCAAAAUAAUGAUUUAUUAUAUUUUAAUAAACAAAGUUUAGUAGUUUAUAAAAAUAAAAUUGAUGUAUCAGUUAUUUAUCUUUGUUCUUAAUAUCAUAUAAUUGUUCAUAAUCAAAUCUGUUAUUAAAAAGCUCAUUGUUAAUUAUCUUGGUCACACUUUGUUUUGUGUAUUAAAAUUAUACUAUUAAUAAAUCCCUAACUAUGACUUGCCUCAAACAUCUAUUUUGCUGAUUAUAAGGUAGUAGUUGUUGUUAGGUAUUGGGUAGAAUUAGGGAUAUAUAAUUUCAUGUAGAAUGUGUUCUUUGAAAGUACUAACAAACAGCCGAUGUCUUAAUAAUAGGCAUGCUAAUGAGCAACUUGUUAAUAGUGGGAAUUGUUCCUUAUAUUGAAGUGAUACCAAAUUUUCUUAUCAUACACUACGCUUGUGACAACACACAAGUGGUUGUUUUUUCUUUUAUUCUUUAAUUAAUAAAGGCUAUUUUAAAUACAAUUACAUUUUUCGUUUUACUUUCCUUUAACUUCAGUGUGACCUAAAAUCUGAUCGCACAACUUUACUUAUCUCUUCAGCACCACUAGCCUAACCAGUUGAUUAAAUAAUUAGCUACAGUAUAUGUCAGAGACCUAAAAAGUUAAAGCUGCUAAUGCACUGAAAACAUUUCACAAACACUAUUAUAGUCUGCAAUUCACUCACUGAACACUUUGCACAAUGAAAAAAAAAAACAAUGAAUAAAGCCACAUCCAGAUCCAACAUUCCCCAUUUCAAAUGUUUCAUAUCAUUCAGUACUACGACAGAGGUACAAUGAUGAUAGGAGAAUGAUAAAAAGAUGCUGCUAGAAAGAAGUCUUUCAGAAGAUCUCCAGAAAUAACAAAUAAUUUGCUCUUUUUUACAUUUUAAAAAACAAAUUACAGGCUUCAGAAAGAACUGGGUUCUCACUGCAUGAGUGUAAUCUGACAACAUACUGUACAGUAACUAAUGGUAUGGUUAAUAACUAAUGGUAUGGUUCAGAGCCGGCCCAAGGCAUAAGCGAACUAAGUGGCUGCUUGGGGCCCCGUGGCCACCAGGGGGCCCCCAAGAGUGCUUGAGAUUAUUGUGUGACUUUCGUUUUAGUUUGUUGAGUUGUGGAUUAGUGGUGGGACAAAAUAUAUGCCCAUUUAUAGUGUUAUUUCUGACAGCGAUACUCAGGCGCCAAGAUAUUUACCUAAAUUUACAAAAGAUCUGAUUUAAUUAAUCAGUUUUCCACACUGACAGCAGAAGAUAACCACUUUAGCUACAGUACACCCAGCUGCCACCAGGUUGCGCUUCCUGUAAUGGCGGAUCAUCGGACAUACACCAGCGUCAUGUAAACAACUGACAGACAGAUGAGCCAUUGCAAUGGUGAAAAUCUCAGGCAUACAGACACUUUCUUCUGUCCAAGCUGGGCCAAGGUAUUUGUGUGUUCAGACAUCCAGCUCCCCCGAAUUUGCCACUAGUUUCUUUCUUACAGACGCGCUUUCACUUCGCUAAAUCACUCGCGCGUGCCCGCGGCCAGUGCAACUUCUUAUGUGCUCAAACUUUUUUAACUCCGCCAAUAUAUAUACAGAUACAAGUGUGCCGCAAGCCUGCGUUUGAGUGAAGGUCUCGGCCGUUAGAUCGCCCCCUGUGGGCUGGCUGCAGUACAAGUCAUAAAGCCCGCCUCCUCCGUGUUAAUGAAGGAGACUUGAGCCCAAAUAAAAAAAAAUUAUUACACUUGCAAUAAAAUGUUCCGAAAGAUGGUUCUGAUCGAUUAAGGCACUGGUUAUUGUGCUGAAAUAGGUGCAGAUCUUCAUUUUUGUAAAGCAAAAUACACUCGGGCCAGUUCCGGCUAGAUUCUAGCCUGCCGGAGAAUUACCCCUCGAAGCUCAGACUGACUACCUCUGCUGGACCUACUCCGGAUGCCUGGACUCACUGCCCGAUUCUAGCCCGAGUCAUUUGAGCCAGAUGCGGCGGUGAGCGAGCCGGCGCUGCCGCAUGCGAGCCGGAAUCAGCCCGUGACGCCGCGAGUAUGUUAUGCGCUGUGGCCCGGAGCUGGCGCGAUUGAAUAUAUAAAACCCUCAUAUUUGUUAACGUUAUUACAUCCAUUUGUGUUGAUAUGACAGCAAACGCAUGCUGAGAAGUUCGGGGGGUGUGGUUGAUUUUACAUAAAGCGUUUGGUUGGAAGCUCGACUCUGCUCAUUUUCGCGGCUCCUCCUCUGGCUCCAUCAGACAGUCUUUCUGCGCAUGUCAAGGCUCCAAUUUCAGCAGUCUUUUGCGACAGUUUGUGCCCGGCAAGCAGGCGUUUUGCCCUCAAGGCGUUCUAUGGGAAAAUGGGCUGUCGCGUUGUCCAUAUUUUUUACAGUCAUUGUACAGAUAUCAAUAGGAUAUGAACAUUUAAUUUGAAGGGCUUUGCGUUUAUUUGACUCUUACAGACCUUGUCAAAGUCUUGUAGAAGGUGUUUUGGCAAAAAAUAUUAGGGUAAUUAAAAAACUUAAAUAAAUGAGUAAAUAACUAAUGUUGCCCUUCGGUUGGGGAACUUCAGUGCCAUAGAGUGGAUUGAUUGAAAUCCACGAAAGGGAGAUUCGGAUCAGAAGCUGCUUGUCUGGAGAGUAUUGAACGGGCCAAUGAAUGAAAAUGAAUUGGCAGCUUAAGCUUGCGCAGGUGUGCUGCAUCGCCAAUUAUCCCAGCAUAUAAGCACACCUGAAGCGAGCAAACACCAUCCUUUUCGCUUCAGAUCCUUUCUGAGUGAGUCGAUGAGGGUUCCUCUUGCUGUUCAGCACUUCAGAGCGAACGAGUGUCUCCCGGUCCAGAGUGGGUUUUCGCGGUGGCAGAUGGUCGAGCUGGGUUUCUCCCUUGCCUGCGGUUCUUUGGGUCCGGUCCUCCAGAGCGGUGCGUAUUGUUGCAACUUUCCUAAAAGAGCAAAACAGUCGUGCAGCACGUCCUUUUCAGGAUGGCGCUCCGACUGUGCGUUUCUGGAUGCGGGGGUUUCCUGGCUCCGGAUGAUGGACACGCAUGUUAAUGCGGUGCUCGCGGGCGGUUCAUGUCGUCAUCGCAAUGCCACGACCGUUGCACAGCUAAGAUCGCGGCUAACUUUCGUAAGAGAGCGAGCCACCCCAGUUGCCUCCUGUUCUAAAAAAGCAGCGGGCGCUCGGGCAGAUCUGAGGGUUCCAGUGGGAGAUAAUCCGCCGCCCACGGGCUCGCAGACCUCUCGCUCCUCACGGCGCUCCAUCCAAGCUUUGGGUAGUGGGAGUGAUCCGUCUAACCAGAUGGUAGCUCUCACGCUCGCUGACACCGGAGAUCAGAUGUCCUACGCGGCAUCGGAGGGUGGGCUUUCACUGUCCGACGAAGAUCCGGACCCGCUCGCCCCCUCCGGGCAGGUGAGCGCCGUCAAAUCGGAUCCUGAAGCGGACAUGUUAGCCGUGCUUUC
rnacentral:lncRNA from 1 species